UCUCGAGCGAGUGGCGAACGGGUGAGUAACGCGUGAGGAACCUGCCUCAAAGAGGGGGACAACAGUUGGAAACGACUGCUAAUACCGCAUAAGCCCACAGCUCGGCAUCGAGCAGAGGGAAAAGGAGCAAUCCGCUUUGAGAUGGCCUCGCGUCCGAUUAGCUAGUUGGUGAGGUAACGGCCCACCAAGGCAACGAUCGGUAGCCGGACUGAGAGGUUGAACGGCCACAUUGGGGCUGAGACACGGCCCAGACUCCUACGGGAGGCAGCAGUGGGGAAUAUUGCACAAUGGGGGAAACCCUGAUGCAGCGACGCCGCGUGGAGGAAGAAGGUCUUCGGAUUGUAAACUCCUGUUGUUGAGGAAGACAAUGACGGUACUCAACAAGGAAGUGACGGCUAACUACGUGCCAGCAGCCGCGGUAAAACGUAGGUCACAAGCGUUGUCCGGAAUUACUGGGUGUAAAGGGAGCGCAGGCGGGAAGACAAGUUGGAAGUGAAAUCUAUGGGCUCAACCCAUAAACUGCUUUCAAAACUGUUUUUCUUGAGUAGUGCAGAGGUAGGCGGAAUUCCCGGUGUAGCGGUGGAAUGCGUAGAUAUCGGGAGGAACACCAGUGGCGAAGGCGGCCU
rnacentral:rRNA from 1 species